rnacentral:rRNA from 1 species
UAGGGAAUCUUCCACAAUGGACGAAAGUCUGAUGGAGCAACGCCGCGUGAGUGAAGAAGGGUUUCGGCUCGUAAAACUCUGUUGUUAAAGAAGAACAUAUCUGAGAGUAACUGUUCAGGUAUUGACGGUAUUUAACCAGAAAGCCACGGCUAACUACGUGCCAGCAGCCGCGGUAAUACGUAGGUGGCAAGCGUUGUCCGGAUUUAUUGGGCGUAAAGCGAGCGCAGGCGGUUUUUUAAGUCUGAUGUGAAAGCCUUCGGCUCAACCGAAGAAGUGCAUCGGAAACUGGGAAACUGGAGUGCAGAAGAGGACAGUGGAACUCCAUGUGUAGCGGUGAAAUGCGUAGAUAUAUGGAAGAACACCAGUGGCGAAGGCGGCUGUCUGGUCUGUAACUGACGCUGAGGCUCGAAAGUAUGGGUAGCAAACAGG